ACGCUGGCGGCAGGCUUAACACAUGCAAGUCGAACGGUAACAGGAAUUAGCUUGCUAAUUUGCUGACGAGUGGCGGACGGGUGAGUAAUGCUUGGGAAUCUGGCUUAUGGAGGGGGAUAACUACGGGAAACUGUGGCUAAUACCGCGUAAAAUCUUCGGAUUAAAGGGUGGGACUUUCGAGCCACCUGCCAUAAGAUGAGCCCAAGUGGGAUUAGGUAGUUGGUUAGGUAAAGGCUGACCAAGCCGACGAUCUCUAGCUGGUCUGAGAGGAUGACCAGCCACACUGGAACUGAGACACGGUCCAGACUCCUACGGGAGGCAGCAGUGGGGAAUAUUGCACAAUGGGGGGAACCCUGAUGCAGCCAUGCCGCGUGAAUGAAGAAGGCCUUCGGGUUGUAAAGUUCUUUCGGUGACGAGGAAGGUUGAUAGGUUAAUAGCCUAUCAAAUUGACGUUAAUCACAGAAGAAGCACCGGCUAACUCCGUGCCAGCAGCCGCGGUAAUACGGGGGGUGCGAGCGUUAAUCGGAAUAACUGGGCGUAAAGGGCACGCAGGCGGUGACUUAAGUGAGAUGUGAAAGCCCCGAGCUUAACUUGGGAAUUGCAUUUCAUACUGGGUCGCUAGAGUACUUUAGGGAGGGGUAGAAUUCCACGUGUAGCGGUGAAAUGCGUAGAGAUGUGGAGGAAUACCGAAGGCGAAGGCAGCCCCUUGGGAAUGUACUGACGCUCAUGUGCGAAAGCGUGGGGAGCAAACAGGAUUAGAUACCCUGGUAGUCCACGCUGUAAACGAUGUCGAUUUGGGGAUUGGGCUUUGAGCUUGGUGCCCGUAGCUAACGUGAUAAAUCGACCGCCUGGGGAGUACGGCCGCAAGGUUAAAACUCAAAUGAAUUGACGGGGGCCCGCACAAGCGGUG
rnacentral:rRNA from 1 species